ensembl:lncRNA
CUGGGCUUGACCUCUCUUCCUGACCAUGUGUGAUAUGAAGCUGAGCAGACUUCUGUGUCAGUCAACAGUUCUUGUGGUGUUGCAGUAGGUGAUGAUGAUUGUGGCGGUACACCGCUCCUUCUGCGGUGCGGACGUGAUAUGAACGUUCAGUGUCAGCUGGCUGGAUGACGACUGCUGGAGGCUAUGCCCCUGGAUUCUAACUGACUCUCCGUCCGUCGUUCAGUUGUAGCCUUGUAGCUGACGACCUCAGGUUGAAGCUGCUGGUUGGUGCUGGGAAGGAUUGAGCAAAGUCUGCGGCUCAUCAACAGCUGGGCAGGUGAUUUGACGUUGUCAACUGGAGUGCUGCGGUAUUCAAGGAGACUGAGACGAACGCCGUUACAGAAUCACCCACCACACCCGGACCGAGCGGCGUGGUAACAGGCAGCGACAGCAGUAGCAGCGAAAGGAGGAAUGGACAUGGGAAGACGUGUUGGAUGGCAAAGGUUGUUACACUUGGGAGGAGAUACUGG